rnacentral:rRNA from 1 species
UACGUAGGGGGCAAGCGUUGUCCGGAUUUAUUGGGCGUAAAGAGCGUGUAGGCGGCCAAACAGGUCAGCUGUGAAAACUCGAGGCUCAACCUCGAGACGUCGGUUGAAACCGUUUGGCUAGAGUCCGGAAGAGGAGAGUGGAAUUCCCGGUGUAGCGGUGAAAUGCGCAGAUAUCGGGAGGAACACCUGUGGCGAAAGCGGCUCGCUGGACCAUUACUGACGCUGAUGCGCGAAAGCUAGGGGAGCAAACAGG